GCCUGGGUGGCUCAGUCGGUUAAGCACCUGACUUCAGCUCAGGUCAUGAUCUCACCUUUUGUGAGUUUGAGUCCCUCAUCAGGCU
rnacentral:tRNA from 1 species